UUUUUUUUUUCUUAUGUUAAGAUGUUUCACUUCACUUUUUUUUAUUACAUGAUGAAGGGAAAAAAAAAACAUCCCAUCAAAACAUUGGUGUGAUACCAAGCCUAGGCAGGACUUUGGGAUGCUUAAGAAAGGAUUUGGUUCAGAUAAUGGUUGUGAUUUCUGGUGUGAGCACACUGUAUGUAUUGACUGCCCACUGGGUCAGAGGUCUGAGAUCCUCAGCAGGCACUUUCAGAGAGAGGCAGUCCCUGUGUUAUCAUGGAAAACUUAGAGCUCUUCGUUCUUUUUUUUUUAUUUAGUGGAUAAUGCAGAUAAUCCAGAUGGGGAGGAGAAGGGGGGGAAGUGUUUGCUUCUGAAUGAAUGGGAAACCUAUCGUAACAGAAAUAACGUUUUUUGGGUCUUCAAAUGAGCCCAGUUUAUUCUGAGACAUGGCUUUAGAAUUUAACUCUCAUUAAGAAAAAACAAGAAAUUACAUCCUAAAACUAGAUAUGAGAUGGCAAUAAUAGCCUAUUAAUGUGCAUAUUUGUGCAUAGGCCGACAUGAUUAAUAAAGCUUAUGUUUAUAUAUCUUUUUAUUGGAGCUGAAUUUUUAAAGAUUCCGGGGAACUGUAGCUGAACACUCAGAAAAGCCUUUUAUGACACUGCUAUUGAUUCAUUACAUUAUUUUGAUAACAAAAGAGCUGAAAUAGCCCACCUUUAAAUUUCUGUAUUCUUUAGUUUCAGAGUGCAUAUGCACAUGUUGAUGUGAUCUUGAGAUGUUUUAUACUAUGCAGAAUUGUAAAUUUGUCUCACCUUUUACUGCUUCUAUGAUGGUUAAGCAUACAUAAAAUGCACUGUAAUUUUGGUCCUGUGAUUCCUGUCACAAUUGGAAAAGUCUCUAAAUAAUGGUUCCAGCAAUACACAGGUUUUUCCUAUUCACUUAAAGAAGGGCAUGGUUUCCAUAUAUAUAUGCCAGGCUGUUUAUUAAAAGGUACUAAAACAAUUUGGAACUGUGGGCUGGUGUGACCGUAUAACCGUAUAACCUUAUGGCAUGAGUGAUCUAGACUUGGAGAUACUUCACUAACUAAAGAGAAAGAUCAUUCACCAGUACUUGUUUGGGAAGAGUAGAAAAGCCAAAAAGGGUGCAGAAGAAAGAGGCAGAAGAGCUUCACUGAAACUUGUCAAGAGAGCGAAUUACAUAUUGGAAGACAUAAACAUAAGAGCUCUGUGAAAAUCAGGAAAAAACGUAGAAGAAGACAGCUGCAAAAGGCUUGCAGUAAUCUUCCUAUCUCUCUCUGAAAACAAAAGGGUGGAUUAAAUUUCACAGAAAAGGACUGUAGAUGCACAGCUUACAUCAGACUUUACAGAACAGCCCAUGAUGAAGUUACCAAUAGAGAGGAAAAGUUUUUUUCUUUUACUUGUUCAUUAGUUAUCUGUACAUAUACAGAUAUAUACAUAUCUUAUAUAACAUAACUGUGGUUACUCAAGUUGUCCAUAGCAUACCUAAUACUUGGUGGAUUAUUAUUGAUUAUGAAAGAGAGAUUCACAUAUCAAUUAGCUUAAGAAAUACCAUUUCCUCAACUCUGGUUUAAAACUUUCCUUUCAGUUUUGACCAUGAUUUCAUUCAUUAAAUGUACAUUGCCUUACUUUCUAUGGCAAGAUUUUGUAAAUAACACUUGUGGCUUAGUGUGUUAUUUUGUUUAGACUGUAAAUACCACACACACUUUGGAAAAAUGCCAAUAGUUACUGGAUACAUCUUAUGAUUUAAACAGAAGAUGAAAUCUCUUCCUGAAACGUGCUGUUUGCAAUUUCAUGGGACAUAUUAUUUCACACUCACAACCAUACACAGGUAUUUUGCACAAGUUUCUUGACAGUAGCAGUUAAAACCCCAAUAGUAGAGAGAUGAGAUACAUCAGCAAUGCUCUGGAGUUUGCAUGUCAGUAAGUUGCUUUAAGACAACUUCUAUGGAAAGGCAGAAUUGACAGUUUUUACAUGUAAGUCAGGGGAACAUA
ensembl:lncRNA